UGGUAUUCCGAAGGGCAUGCCUGUUUGAGUGUCUUAUAAACCUCACCCUUACUGUUUGUUCAGUAAGCGGUGCUUUGGGUGCUGCCAUUGGCUCGCCUUAAAUACCUAAGUGGAAUGCGUUAUAAGUUUUCGCACCCCUCCACUCUAAUACACUUUUAUACUCUGACCUCAAAUCAGGUAGGACUACCCGCUGAACUUAA
rnacentral:misc_RNA from 1 species